rnacentral:rRNA from 1 species
CACGUAGGGAGCAAGCGUUGUCCGGAUUUAUUGGGCGUAAAGAGCUCGUAGGCGGUUCGAUAAGUCAGGUGUGAAAACUCUGGGCUCAACUCAGAGACGCCACCCGAUACUGUCGUGACUAGAGUCCAGUAGGGGAGCGUGGAAUUCCUGGUGUAGCGGUGAAAUGCGCAGAUAUCAGGAGGAACACCAGCGGCGAAGGCGGCGCUCUGGGCUGGAACUGACGCUGAGGAGCGAAAGCGUGGGGAGCGAACAGG